rnacentral:rRNA from 1 species
UAGCCGUAAACGAUACUCGCUAGGUGUCGGCCACGGUGCGACCGUUGUCGGUGCCGUAGGGAAGCCGUGAAGCGAGCCACCUGGGAAGUACGGCCGCAAGGCUGAAACUUAAAGGAAUUGGCGGGGGAGCACCACAACGGGUGGAGCUUGCGGGUUUAAUUGGAUUCAACGCCGGAAAUCUUACCGGGACCGACAGCAACAUGAAGGCCAGGCUGAAGUCUUUGCCGGAUUAGCUGAGAGGAGGUGCAUGGCGUAGUCGUGU